CUGCCAAUUCUCCCCUUCUUAAAGGCUCAACUCAGUGCCAUCCUCUUUAAAACUUUCUUAGGUCCCUCUGCUGGGAAUAACCUCCAUUUUUCAGUUACUCACAGGAAUCUGUAUCCUGCUGAUGUCAUAAGCUUUAUGGAACAGAACUAUGUGAGGGUCCUGAAUCUCCUCCACAGUGUUACACACACUAAAAAUUCAAAUUUUAGGUAAAUAACAUGUCAUUUAUUGCUGAGAGUAAUAAAGGAGAUACUCAAGACAACCUCCUGUCACCAGGUUUAUCGACAAGGAAGACUUCACUCCAUAUCUGGAUUCCUGUGGUCUCUCUUUCAGACCCACCUCUCCAUGAAAAACCAGUCAAUGGUUCGUUGUAAUCUCCAACCCAAUCAACUGAUUCCUAUAAGUUAAUAAAGUCUGCGAUAUGAAACUA